rnacentral:rRNA from 1 species
AUUGAACGCUGGCGGCAGGCCUAACACAUGCAAGUCGGGCGGUAACAGGGGAGCUUGCUCCCGCUGACGAGCGGCGGACGGGUGAGUAAAGUCUAGGAAUCUGCCCAGUAGAGGGGGACAACGCGGGGGAAACUCGCGCUAAUACCGCAUACGCCCUACGGGGGAAAGGUGCUUUCGGGUACCGCUAUUGGAUGAGCCUAGAUCGGAUUAGCUAGUUGGUAGGGUAAAGGCCUACCAAGGCGACGAUCCGUAGCUGGUCUGAGAGGAUGAUCAGCCACACUGGGACUGAGACACGGCCCAGACUCCUACGGGAGGCAGCAGUGGGGAAUAUUGGACAAUGGGCGCAAGCCUGAUCCAGCCAUGCCGCGUGUGUGAAGAAGGUCUUCGGAUUGUAAAGCACUUUAAGUCGUGAAGAAGGGUUGUAGUAACGAUACAACUUUGACAUUAGCGACAGAAUAAGCACCGGCUAACUUCGUGGCAGCCGCCGCAGUAACACCGAGACU